rnacentral:lncRNA from 1 species
CUAGUAUCCCAAGGAACAGGGAACUCUGACCUUGGUGUAAAUAUUUGAUACAACUUGCUAGAAGAACGAGCUUGGAAGUCGUUGUUUUAUUCAAAUUGAAGUAUGGUUUAACAUCGAAGAGUCUUGUCACACUAACAACUGCUAUUUAUUUGGCAAAUUCCACAGUCCAUCUACACUUCCAAAACAAAAAUGUUUCGAGACUAGAAC